ACAUUCUCAUAGAACAAUGAUGUGCCAGGAAUGGCAGCUAUUACAGGAGACAGCAACAGGAUAAUUCUCUAUUUAUUAAAAAGGGUCCUACAGCUUUACAGCCACAGCACCGGACACGGCCCUGGACAGCGACGGCGAGCCCGGCCAGGGGCCGCUUUGCAACUUCAAUGCCAAGCUCACGUCUGGCUGCGACCGUGGCAGGCUGUGGCAUCCCCGACAGCGGCCGGUGGCGGAGGCACAUAGGACUGUCUUUCGAAAAUAAAAUAAGUAUCAUGAACCAUGCUCAUUAAAUAAAGCUGCAACAGAAGGACCACGAUUCUAAAUGGGACUGGGGGAGAGGCCUAUUUCUUCCCAAACAUGAGUUCAUCAACGCUAAGAUACUUAGAAAUCACACGGAUAAUGCAAACCGAUGCAACGCACAGGUGUCAGGCUGUAACCCGGCACACACAACUGCCUUGAUGCCCAAAGCCUGGGCUCCUACUACUCACCACUGACCUACAGUUCUAAAAUCAGACAGACACGCUGGCCCAGGGCCCCAGAGC
rnacentral:lncRNA from 10 species